GACGUAGGGCGCGAGCGUUGUCCGGAUUUAUUGGGCGUAAAGAGCUCGUAGGCGGCUUGUCGCGUCGUCCGUGAAAACCCACAGCUCAACUGUGGGCUUGCGGUCGAUACGGGCAGGCUAGAGUUCGGUAGGGGGAGACUGGAAUUCCUGGUGUAGCGGUGAAAUGCGCAGAUAUCAGGAGGGAAACACCCGGUGGCGAAAGGCGGGGUCUCUGGGGCCCGAUACU
rnacentral:rRNA from 1 species